UACGGGAGGCAGCAGGGGGGAAUAUUGGACAAUGGGCGAAAGCCUGAUCCAGCCAUGCCGCAUGAGUGAAGAAGGCCUUCGGGUUGUAAAGCUCUUUUAGUGAGAAAGAUAAUGACGGUACUCACAGAAGAAGUCCUGGCUAACUCCGUGCCAGCAGCCGCGGUAAUACGGAGAGGGCUAGCGUUAUUCGGAAUUAUUGGGCGUAAAGGGCACGCAGGCGGUUAAUUAAGUUGGAUGUGAAAUCCCCGGGCUUAACCUGGGAAUGGCAUUCAAGACUGGUUAGCUAGAGUCUUGUAGAGGGGGGUAGAAUUCCAUGUGUAGCGGUGAAAUGCGUAGAGAUGUGGAGGAAUACCGGUGGCGAAGGCGGCCCCUGGACAAAGCUGACGCUCAUGUGCGAAAGCGUGGGGAGCAAACAGGGAUUAGAUACC
rnacentral:rRNA from 1 species